CCAGUUGGGAGUGGCAGUUGGGUCUUGUGACUAGUACUUCCUUCCUGCCCGGUUGGGACUUGCUUCCUGGUGUUGGAGAAGAGAGGAGCUUGUUCAGCCCAGUCUGGUGUGGUAUGCCUCCUCUUUCUUGGUUCAGCCUGAAGAUUCAAGCCAAAUCUCUUCUGAAGAAGUUUGCAUUCAUGAAAGAAUCAAUCUCCAAAGACAACCAGGGGAAAAAAUCAUAAAUUGGCAAGAAACAGCUGUUGAUUCUCUCCCUUCUGGACUCAUUUAGAAGGCAAUGAAUAUGAUACCUGUUAUAUAUGAAAUGCAAAACAUUUCCACCUAACCAUGUUACAAAAAGAAAAGCAAGAAAAAUAAAGGAAAAAUGUUUCAGUCUGCA
rnacentral:lncRNA from 1 species